UCUACGGGAGGCAGCAGUGAGGAAUAUUGGUCAAUGGGCGCGAGCCUGAACCAGCCAAGUCGCGUGAGGGAUGAAGGUUCUAUGGAUCGUAAACCUCUUUUAUAAGGGAAUAAAGUGUGGGACGUGUCCUAUUUUGUAUGUACCUUAUGAAUAAGGAUCGGCUAACUCCGUGCCAGCAGCCGCGGUAAUACGGAGGAUCCGAGCGUUAUCCGGAUUUAUUGGGUUUAAAGGUGGCGUAGGCGGCCUUUUAAGUCAGCGGUGAAAUUCUGUGGCUCAACCAUAGAAUUGCCGUUGAAACUGGGGGUCGUGAUUAUGUUUGAGGCAGGCGGAAUGCGUGGUGUAGCGGGGCAAUGCUUA
rnacentral:rRNA from 1 species